GUGCCCACAUCGCCAGCAUGUAUGUGGGAAUUGGACGGAUACAGGGAAGGCUAGCAGCGCCCCUGCUAAGGGUGAUGCACGAUUUUGUAAAGAGUUCUAUGUUUAA
ensembl:snRNA U6 U6 spliceosomal RNA